AACGAACGCUGGCGGCGUGCUUAACACAUGCAAGUCGAACGGAAAGGCCCUGCUUUUGUGGGGUGCUCGAGUGGCGAACGGGUGAGUAACACGUGAGUAACCUGCCCUUGACUUUGGGAUAACUUCAGGAAACUGGGGCUAAUACCGGAUAGGAGCUCCUGCUGCAUGGUGGGGGUUGGAAAGUUUCGGCGGUUGGGGAUGGACUCGCGGCUUAUCAGCUUGUUGGUGGGGUAGUGGCUUACCAAGGCUUUGACGGGUAGCCGGCCUGAGAGGGUGACCGGCCACAUUGGGACUGAGAUACGGCCCAGACUCCUCCGGGAGGCAGCAGUGGGGAAUAUUGCACAAUGGGCGGAAGCCUGAUGCAGCAACGCCGCGUGCGGGAUGACGGCCUUCGGGUUGUAAACCGCUUUCGCCUGUGACGAAGCGUGAGUGACGGUAAUGGGUAAAGAAGCACCGGCUAACUAC
rnacentral:rRNA from 1 species